AGAAUCAACGCUGGCGGCGUGCCUAACACAUGCAAGUCGAACGAGAAAGUGGGAGCAAUCCCACGAGUAAAGUGGCGCACGGGUGAGUAACACGUGACUAACCUACCCUUGAGUGGGGGAUAACCUAGGGAAAACCUGGGCUAAUACCGCAUAAUACCUACGGGUCAAAGGAGCAAUUCGCUUAAGGAGGGGGUCGCGGCAGAUUAGUUAGUUGGCGGGGUAAUGGCCCACCAAGACAGUGAUCUGUA
rnacentral:rRNA from 1 species